rnacentral:rRNA from 1 species
UGGGGAAUAUUGCACAAUGGGCGCAAGCCUGAUGCAGCCAUGCCGCGUGUGUGAAGAAGGCCUUCGGGUUGUAAAGCACUUUCAGCGAGGAGGAAGGUGGUGGACUUAAUACGUUCAUCAAUUGACGUUACUCGCAGAAGAAGCACCGGCUAACUCCGUGCCAGCAGCCGCGGUAAUACGGAGGGUGCAAGCGUUAAUCGGAAUUACUGGGCGUAAAGCGCACGCAGGCGGUUUGUUAAGUCAGAUGUGAAAUCCCCGGGCUCAACCUGGGAACUGCAUUUGAAACUGGCAAGCUAGAGUCUCGUAGAGGGGGGUAGAAUUCCAGGUGUAGCGGUGAAAUGCGUAGAGAUCUGGAGGAAUACCGGUGGCGAAGGCGGCCCCCUGGACGAAGACUGACGCUCAGGUGCGAAAGCGUGGGGAGCAAACAGGAUUAGAUACCCCUGGUAGGUCCAGCGCUGUAAAACCGAUGUCGAUUUUGGAGGUUGUGCCCUUGAGGCGUGGCUUCCGGAGCUAACGCGUUAAAUCGACCGCCUGGGGAGUACGGCCGCAAGGUUAAAACUCAAAGGAAUUGACGGGGUCAUAGCUGUUUCCU